rnacentral:rRNA from 1 species
UACGUAGGUGGCGAGCGUUAUCCGGAAUGAUUGGGCGUAAAGGGUACGUAGGCGGCCAGAUAAGUCUGGUGUGAAAGGCUGCAGCUCAACUGCAGCACUGCACUGGAAACUGUCCGGCUGGAGUGCAGAAGAGGGCAAUGGAACUCCAUGUGUAGCGGUAAAAUGCGUAGAUAUAUGGAAGAACACCGGUGGCGAAGGCGGUCGCCUGGUCUGCAACUGACGCUGAAGUACGAAAGCGUGGGGAGCAAAUAGG